GCCGGCUUAGCUCAGUUGGUAGAGCGGCUGAUUUGUAAUCAGUAGGUCGGGGGUUCGAAUCCUCCAGCCGGCACCA
rnacentral:tRNA from 8 species